CGGGUAACGGCGAAUUAGGGUUCGAUUCCGGAGAGGGAGCCUGAGAAACGGCUACCACAUCUUAAGGAAGGCAGCAGGCGCGCAAAUUACCCAAUCCUGAUUCAGGGAGGUAGUGACAAUAAAUAACUAAUCCAGGACUUCGGUCUUGGCAAUGUGGAAUGAGAACAAUUUAAAUCUCUUAUCGAGGAACAAUUGGAGGGCAAGUCUAGGUGCCAGCAGCCGCGGUAAUUCCAGCUCCAAUAGCGUAUAUUAAAGUUGUUGCAGUUAAAUAGCUCGUAGUUGAAUCUUGGGGCUGGUCUUGGCGGGCGGGUCUUUGACGUGUACUGUCGGCCGGUUCUUGUUACUUGUGGGGAAGCGUAUGUUGCCCUUUGCGGGGUGUGUACGGGAACCAUGGCUGUUACUUUGAAAAAAUUAGAGUGUUUAAAGCGGGCGUAAGCUUGUAUACAUUAGCAUGGAAUAAUAGAAUAGGACUUUGGUUUGAUUG
rnacentral:rRNA from 1 species